GUCCACACGGUAAACGAUGAAUGCUAGGUGUAGGGGUAUCGACCCCUUCUGUGCCGGAGUUAACACAAUAAGCAUUCCGCCUGGGGAGUACGGUCGCAAGAUUAAAACUCAAAGGAAUUGACGGGGCCCGCACAAGCAGCGGAGCAUGUGGUUUAAUUCGAAGCAACGCGAAGAACCUUACCAGGUCUUGACAUCCAGUAAAGCCUGUAGAGAUACAGAGUCCCUUCGGGGGUACUGAGACAGGUGGUGCAUGGUUGUCGU
rnacentral:rRNA from 1 species